rnacentral:rRNA from 1 species
AAACCGUUCAGGGGUAAACCUGCGAAACUCGAAUGAACGAACGGAGAGAUUCAUCGUCAUUCCGCGGCGUACGCGUUCGCGCUCUGAUGNNGCGUCGGUCCCUUNNAAUCGGUGUANCCGGCGUCACGGGUCGAGCGCGUCGACGUCCGCGGACGGCGUGCACUUCUCUCUCAGUAAUACAUCGCGACCCGUUCGACGUCGGCCUAAGCGCCGUUCGGGAGUCCGUUUGGNNAUUUAUACUCCUNAGCNNNNGGACCGUGACGGUGGCCGACCGGCCGUCGGACGGUAGAAGACAGGAAUCGCGCACGCGCUCNANNNNNNAGCGCGUCCGGCCCGACGCAAGAUAACGUCGUCAUCGAGAUCCUGCCUUUGUGCGGAUAUCGGUGCGGCGCGUCUGUUGUCGCAGCCGUGUUGUCUCGGACCGUGCGC